CAGGGUGCUGCUAAACUUGUGUGAAAGUUUUAUUUCUGUAGCGUUUGCUUUUUAAAAGGAAACCACAAUCUUUUUUUAUUAACAAAGCAAAAAGAGGCGUGGGGGGGGACGGGGACUUUCUCCUUGACAGACAUUUCCCUUCCGGCACCGCAUCGCAGUGCGGAGUUUCCAGUAAGAAGCCGUGCUGUCGGGCAGGGGGGGAUGAUUUAGCAGAUUAAGCUUUAACUCCUGCCGUGCCCCCAGGGCCUCCUGUGCAGGGCAGUGGUGUGGUCGGGGUGAGCUGGGGGCUGCCACUGGCUCCUGCGGGUGCUGUUUCACACCAGGAGGGGUUUUAUAGGGCUCUGUCACAGAGCGUGUCCUGGCACACCGUGCUCUCGAGUGUUUAGGUAGGAAGGAGCCUGCUUCAAGCCUGCUUCAUGAGUGCAGCGAUCAGACCUCCCUGCGAGAUUUGGUCUUUCAUCUCUUGAAGAUCUUCAUCCUGUGUGUACUCAUCCUGUACUACGUGGAGACAAAUUCACAGGAAAUAAAAAAACCUCAGCGUGCUGAUCAAGGUCACAGGGGGUGCAGCAGAGGGUGGAGAAGGGACGGAAAGACCCAAAGCAGCAGGAGCUCCUCCAAGGAGAGCAGCAAGGUGGGAGCUGCCCAUCAGAGCUGGGGCUGGGCAGCAGGAGCCAGGCUGCAGCCCGCAGGCUCUGCCUGAAGGGGAUCGUUUGGUGUUAAUGCAGGGCAGCUUGAAAAGCAAGUAGACAUUUGCCCACCCCUCUAGCAAAACCUCUUUCCCGUUACUCUAAAUAGAAAGUUUCCUGUUUUAUAAUUGAGGCUCUUAAAAGCCUUCGUGGUGUUCAGGUCAACGUACAGCUGCCGAGCUGAGCCCAUAAAUGCCUGAAAUACGAGCUGGGGCAGAGGCUGUUGACUCUGGAACCAAGUAACACUUUAAAAUGGCAAUACGAACUAUUUCCUGCUAUACAGAGCGUAUUCGAGUAUCCUGUUGCAAAUACUGCCAGGCUGCACGGAGCAAUUCUGCUCCCCAGGCACCGCUCACCUGCUGCAUCACCGCAGUGGGGUAACGGGGGGAGCUCUGCGAUACUCGGGUAGCUGGAGAAAUUUACCUCCUGACACCGCUGCUCCCUUUUAUUACAGCUGAAGAAGUGUUUAGAUUUCUAUUAAAGCCAAAUAAUUUUUUCUCCCUGCCUUUUCUUUCCGGUGCUCUGAAAGGUUUAUUUUCUAAUAGGCUUAGGAUCGACUUCACAGACGGUGACUGCUGCAGCGGCACGUGUCAGUGGGUAGGUUUUGGGCCUGCAGAUCAGAAGCGGUCUUUGAACAGGGAGAACUUUUUGUGGGAAGAAAGCUGGAAGAGGCCAGUAGGAGAAGAGGAGGUCCUGGUCAGCAGUUAUUGAUCCUGGAGGUGCCCUUCAUCUGGCUCUGCCUGAGACACCAAGGAGCGAGGCGUGCUGCUUACCUGCUUGCAUGCACCCAACCCCACGUGUGAGGAGCCAGCUGAGGGGCUGGGGGGUGCAGGUUCCUAUCGAGCCGCUCUGGAGGACGUGGCUGUCCUCCAGCCCUCGUUUCUCUUGGACCUCCCUGCUGAGGCUGCUGCCUCACAGGGCUCUGAAGACAGCGGGCAAGUCUCUCUGCAUGUUGUGCAGGGACUUCUGCCCAGCACCACGGCACCCCAAAAGCUGGCGUUGCUCUGCUCGUGGCUACAGCUCCUGGGUCACCCUGGGGACCUUGGCCCUGAUCUCCUUGAUCACAGCUCCGUAAAUCUGACAGAAAUAUUUUUUGGCCCUCUUCAAAUAGGCACAAUUCACAAAUACCUACUCCAAAGUGCCUCUUAAAGAGAGAAGAGGCUCUUUGGCAGCCCAGGUGUCACUGUCACAAAGAUAUUGGGGAAUUUGCUUCCCUGGCUCCCUGCCCACAGCGAUCCUGCUGAAGGCAGCUGAGCCCGCAGGUUACAUAAAACACUCAGCCCUUUGAGACCAUCAUCUGUUUAAAGACCAUACCAAAAUGAUUUAUUUAUUCUUCCAAUAGCAGGUGAGGAAUAGGAAACUGAAAAAAUAGUCUCUGACCUCAGCUUUCUUUUAUGUAUUUAGUAUCUCCCGAGUGGGCCAAUUUCACUGUUAGCCUGAGCAGGAGGAGAGGGUGAGGGUGCCUUUUAACGGGACGCUGCAUCCUUAGGAGGGUUCAUCAGAUGGCAGCUUCCUAUAAUUUUUAUUUUGUCUAUUGAAACAGAUUUGGCUUUGUUUCUACCAGUGUCCUUUGAGCACUGCUGGUUGCAGAUGGGCAGCUUGCACAGUGUUACUGGUCAGAGCAAUCCCAGGUGGAUGGCAGCCAUAAAGGAAAGACGCUUUGGUAUCGCUAGCGCUAAGUGGAUUAUAGGUGAACCUAGACACAAAACACGGGAAAUGUGGGAUGCGGCAGGGCUCGGGCACCUGGCUGUGCCCACUGACCAAAGAGCAUUUUCUCUGUAGGCAGCAGUCACCAGACAGUACUACGGCUGGCUCUGCGGGUGGCCACGGGUGCGCUCCGAUGGGCGAGAAGUGUCACAGUUAGAAAUAGGCUUUCCUUGCGAGCUCCUGGGCUGAGGAUGAAAUGAAAUGUUCCCUGCCCUCGUGCACGUGGCACAAAGCAGACGGGACUCUGCUGGCCUCUUUCCAAACCUGCCAGAUUUGGUGGGUAUGGUAGGAGGGACGUGUGUGCCCAGCCGUAACCGAGGUGGGAGGUGUCUUCGCAGGCUUUGAUCCUGCCUGAGAAAGCUCAGCCAUCAAGCAGGGUGGGAUGUCUCGCUUGCUAGCUCAGCAGGCAAAACGGGCCAUAUUUAUUUUUAGGCGUGCUCAAUGUUUGAGCUGAGCAUGGUUUUUGUUUUCCACGGCUUAUUUUGUCUUUCAGAAAGCUCCAGGGAGCUGCAGAGUUUGUCAGUGGGCCGGGCUGGGCUCUCAGUGGUGCGGUGCAGGAGCAGAGGACAGGGCUGAGUACGUUCCUCCUGGGACUGCUCGGGGUUUAGUUGGGCUCUUAAAUAUCAAUAUCAUGGCAUGUGGCGUUAGGCAGCUAGAUGCGAUGCUGGCAAAGCACUCGUAGCCUCAAUACCAUUUUUCUGGCAAAGUUUCUCCUAUGUGAUAAACAUCCCUGCAAAACCGUAGCAGGAGAAGCCCAUCAUGAAGUAGCUGAGCCCAUCCAGAGCCCGGCCGGGGGUCAGGCUGCUGAGACCUUUGCUGGCACACGUGUUGGUGCUGGCACCACCCGUACAUCACUGCAAGUGAUGCUGGAGGAGUUUCUUCUGCCAAACUGGGGCUUGGCUUAAAGCUGUGUUUGGGUGGAAGUGACUUCUACUGGUGCACAGACGUGUGCACCGUAACCCAGGUGAAACUUGUGUGAAAUCGUGUGUAAAUGUCGGAGAAUCCUUCCACUGCCUUAGGAACCUCACUGCAAGAGCAGCUUUUAGGUGUCCUUCAGGAGAGGAGAACCAGACAGUGAAACAGAAGAGUUUACACAUCACUUUCAAAAAGAAGUCGCUGAGUGCAAAGGUUGUACGUAAACCUGGACCUGCAAAAACUCCGUGCGUGUGUGUAAACUCGGAGCACGCAGGGAAGCCUGCUUGCCAGUCUGGACAACUGAAUGUUUUUGGGAGCUGCUAUCAGAAAGGUGUUUUGUUUGUUUGUUUGUUGUCUUGUUCAUUUUUCUUCCCUGUAUCAGCUGGCUUUGUCUGUGAUGGGUUAGUAAUACUUGAAGUAUGCAGAAGCCAGGUAUAGGUGGGAGUGUGAUAUUAUCCAGAAUUUUAUGGUGUAGUUUAUUGACUUUGGGGGAACUGCACUGACAAAGGCAUUUUUCUCCACGGAGAAGUCUCCAUCUGGUUCAGGAACCUUCCUGGAACAUUUGUUUCUCGUAUAACCUCUGUGGGAAGUAAAAUAAAUGUAAAAUGAUA